rnacentral:rRNA from 1 species
CAUGAAGACGGAAUUGCUAGUAAUCGCGGAUCAGCAUGCCGCGGUGAAUACGUUCCCGGGCCUUGUACACACCGCCCGUCACACCAUGAGAGUCGGUAACACCCGAAGCCUGUGAGCUAACCGCAAGGAGGGAGCUGCCGAAGGCGGGACUGGUAACUGGGGUGAAGUCGUAACAAGGUAGC